CCUGUAAGAUUGGGAUAACUCGCGGAAACGUGAGCGUAAUACCGAAUUGAAGUCUUUCACCGCCUGGUGAAAGGAUGAAAGAUGGCUCUUGAGCUAUCACUUACAGAUGGGCCCGCGGCGCAUUAGCUAGUUGGUGGGGUAAAGGCCUACCAAGGCGACGAUGCGUAGCCGACCUGAGAGGGUGAUCGGCCACACUGGGACUGAGACACGGCCCAGACUCCUACGGGAGGCAGCAGUAGGGAAUCUUCCGCAAUGGACGAAAGUCUGACGGAGCAACGCCGCGUGAAGUGAUGAAGGUCUUCGGAUCGUAAACCUCUGUUGUCAGGGAAGAACAAGUUGUGUUCUAACAGGACAUGACCUUGACGGUACCUGACCAGAAAGCCCCGGCUAACUACGUGCCAGCCGCGGC
rnacentral:rRNA from 1 species